GUUCUUUAACGUUCAUUGCAGUCAGCAGAUCAGACACGGACAGUAGGUUCCAAGCAUAGACUGUAUUUCCCACUAUUUUCUAUUUCAAGUUGUAGUAGCAGUUAAGUAUAACCAUGAACACUCCAAGGCGAUCGCCAAAUGAGGUUGCAAAUGCUUGGCGAAGGAGUUCGUGACCACUUUCAGAUGAGGAGGAACAUGCUAGUAUCAAUACGAGCCUUCGUGACGUUUUGAGGGCAAUGGGUGACAUCAGGAGUUCGAUUGAUGAUUUGAGAGGUGACCUAAAACAACUCCAGGACACUGUGACUGGAAUGGGACAGCAGCCCUCCUCCAGCACCAACAACAAAGUGCCACAUGAACAUGAAGUAUUUCAUUCACACAUACAAGUAAAGAACAAAAGAACAGAUGAAUUGA